UGCCCAGCAACUCCUAUCCCUACCUCCACGGGGUACCGACCGGAAACUAUGAGCAACCUUAGGGAAGAUCGGAUCCCCAACCCCGGUGGGAACUUUGGUCAUAGACUGACCGGGAAGA
rfam:Aedes albopictus isolate Foshan contig27904, whole genome shotgun sequence.